GACGUAGGGCGCGAGCGUUGUCCGGAUUUAUUGGGCGUAAAGAGCUCGUAGGCGGCUUGUCGCGUCGACUGUGAAAUCCCGCGGCUCAACCGCGGGUCUGCAGUCGAUACGGGCAGGCUAGAGUUCGGUAGGGGAGACUGGAAUUCCUGGUGUAGCGGUGAAAUGCGUAGAUAUCAAGAGGAACACCGGAGGUGAAGACGGGUUGCUGGGCUGACACUGACGCUGAGGCGCGAAAGCUAGGGUAGCAAACGGG
rnacentral:rRNA from 1 species